rnacentral:lncRNA from 1 species
GAUAUCAAAAAUUUAUUAAAAUAAAAAUCUUAAUAAAAUAUUAAAAUAAAAACCUUAAUUAAAACGUAAUCAAAUCUUUACAAAAUCUUUGUCAAAUCUUAACAAAUCCUAACCAAAACCUUAACCAAAUCUUAGUCAAAUCCUAAUAAAAUCCUAAAAAAAUCCUAAAUAAAUUCUCACCAAAUCCUAAUCAAAUCCUAAUCAAAUCCUAACCAAAUCCUAAACAAAUCCUAAUCAAAUCUUAAA